rnacentral:rRNA from 1 species
GAUGAACGCUGGCGGCGUGCCUAAUACAUGCAAGUCGAGCGAACAGACGAGGAGCUUGCUCCUCUGACGUUAGCGGCGGACGGGUGAGUAACACGUGGAUAACCUACCUAUAAGACUGGGAUAACUUCGGGAAACCGGAGCUAAUACCGGAUAAUAUAUUGAACCGCAUGGUUCAAUAGUGAAAGACGGUUUUGCUGUCACUUAUAGAUGGAUCCGCGCCGCAUUAGCUAGUUGGUAAGGUAACGGCUUACCAAGGCAACGAUGCGUAGCCGACCUGAGAGGGUGAUCGGCCACACGGGAACUGAGACAAGGUCCAGACUCCUACGGGAGGCAGCAGUAGGGAAUCUUCCGCAAAGGGCGAAAGCCUGACGGAGCAACGCCGCGUGAGUGAUGAAGGUCUUCGGAUCGUAAAACUCUGUUAUUAGGGAAGAACAAAUGUGUAAGUAACUAUGCACGUCUUGACGGUACCUAAUCAGAAAGCCACGGCUAACUACGUG